rnacentral:rRNA from 1 species
CGUUGGUGAGGUAACGGCUCACCAAAAGCAACGAUCAGUAGCUGGUCUGAGAGGACGACCAGCCACACUGGGACUGAGACACGGCCCAGACUCCUACGGGAGGCAGCAG